GACGUAGGGCGCGAGCGUUGUCCGGAUUCAUUGGGCGUAAAGGGUGCGUAGGCGGCGCGGUAAGUCGGGUGUGAAAUCUUGGAGCUUAACUCCGAAACUGCAUUCGAUACUGCCGUGCUUGAGGACUGGAGAGGAGACUGGAAUUUACGGUGUAGCGGUGAAAUGCGUAGAUAUCGUAAGGAAGACCAGUGGCGAAGGCGGGUCUCUGGACAGUUCCUGACGCUGAGGCACGAAGGUCAGGGGAGCAAACGGG
rnacentral:rRNA from 1 species